CAGCGCCACGGUAAUACGUAGGUGGCAAGCGUUGUCCGGAAUUAUUGGGCGUAAAGCGCGCGCAGGUGGUUUAAUAAGUCUGAUGUGAAAGCCCACGGUUCAACCGUGGAGGGUCAUUGGAAACUGUUAAACUUGAGUGCAGAAGAGGAGAGUGGAAUUCCAUGUGUAGCGGUGAAAUGCGUAGAUAUAUGGAGGAACACCAGUGGCGAAGGCGACUCUCUGGUCUGUAACUGACGCUGAGGCUCGAAAGCGUGGGUAGCAAACAGGAUUAGAUACCCGGGUAGUCCCUGUCUCUUAUACA
rnacentral:rRNA from 1 species